CGAACGGGGAGCAGCCCGGAGUCUGAAUCAGCUUGUGUGUUAGUGGAACGGUCUGGAAAGUCCGACGGUACAGGGUGAUAGUCCCGUACACGAAAGCACACAGGUUGUGAACUCGAAGAGUAGGGCGGGACACGUGGUAUCCUGUCUGAAUAUGGGGGGACCAUCCUCCAAGGCUAAAUACUCCUGACUGACCGAUAGUGAACCAGUACCGUGAGGGAAAGGCGAAAAGAACCCCGGCGAGGGGAGUGAAAAAGAACCUGAAACCGUGUACGUACAAGCAGUGGGAGCCUACUUGUUAGGUGACUGCGUACCUUUUGUAUAAUGGGUCAGCGACUUAUAUUCUGUAGCAAGGUUAACCGUAUAGGGGAGCCGAAGGGAAACCGAGUCUUAACUGGGCGUUAAGUUGCAGGGUAUAGACCCGAAACCCGGUGAUCUAGCCAUGGGCAGGUUGAAGGUUGGGUAACACUAACUGGAGGACCGAACCGACUAAUGUUGAAAAAUUAGCGGAUGACCUGUGGCUGGGGGUGAAAGGCCAAUCAAACCGGGAGAUAGCUGGUUCUCCCCGAAAGCUAUUUAGGUAGCGCCUCGUGAACUCAUCUUCGGGGGUAGAGCACUGUUUCGGCUAGGGGGCCAUCCCGGCUUACCAACCCGAUGCAAACUACGAAUACCGAAGAAUGUUAUCACGGGAGACACACGGCGGGUGCUAACGUCCGUCGUGAAGAGGGAAACAACCCAGACCGCCAGCUAAGGUCCCAAAGUCAUGGUUAAGUGGGAAACGAUGUGGGAAGGCACAGACAGCCAGGAUGUUGGCUUAGAAGCAGCCAUCAUUUAAAGAAAGCGUAAUAGCUCACUGGUCGAGUCGGCCUGCGCGGAAGAUGUAACGGGGCUAAACCAUGCACCGAAGCUGCGGCAGCGACGCUUAUGCGUUGUUGGGUAGGGGAGCGUUCUGUAAGCCGUUGAAGGUGGCCUGUGAGGGUUGCUGGAGGUAUCAGAAGUGCGAAUGCUGACAUAAGUAACGAUAAAGCGGGUGAAAAGCCCGCUCGCCGGAAGACCAAGGGUUCCUGUCCAACGUUAAUCGGGGCAGGGUGAGUCGACCCCUAAGGCGAGGCCGAAAGGCGUAGUCGAUGGGAAACAGGUUAAUAUUCCUGUACUUGGUGUUACUGCGAAGGGGGGACGGAGAAGGCUAUGUUAGCCGGGCGACGGUUGUCCCGGUUUAAGCAUGUAGGCGGAGGUUCCAGGUAAAUCCGGUACCUUUUUAACGCUGAGGUGUGAUGACGAGGCACUACGGUGCUGAAGUAACAAAUGCCCUGCUUCCAGGAAAAGCCUCUAAGCAUCAGGUAACACGAAAUCGUACCCCAAACCGACACAGGUGGUCAGGUAGAGAAUACCAAGGCGCUUGAGAGAACUCGGGUGAAGGAACUAGGCAAAAUGGUGCCGUAACUUCGGGAGAAGGCACGCUGAUAUGUAGGUGAAGCCCCUGCGGGUGGAGCUGAAAUCAGUCGAAGAUACCAGCUGGCUGCAACUGUUUAUUAAAAACACAGCACUGUGCAAACACGAAAGUGGACGUAUACGGUGUGACGCCUGCCCGGUGCCGGAAGGUUAAUUGAUGGGGUUAGCGGCAACGCGAAGCUCUUGAUCGAAGCCCCGGUAAACGGCGGCCGUAACUAUAACGGUCCUAAGGUAGCGAAAUUCCUUGUCGGGUAAGUUCCGACCUGCACGAAUGGCGUAAUGAUGGCCAGGCUGUCUCCACCCGAGACUCAGUGAAAUUGAACUCGCUGUGAAGAUGCAGUGUACCCGCGGCAAGACGGAAAGACCCCGUGAACCUUUACUAUAGCUUGACACUGAACACUGGUCCUUGAUGUGUAGGAUAGGUGGGAGGCUUUGAAGCGUGGACGCCAGUCUGCGUGGAGCCGACCUUGAAAUACCACCCUUUAAUGGCUGGUGUUCUAACGUAGACCCGUAAUCCGGGUUGCGGACAGUGUCUGGUGGGUAGUUUGACUGGGGCGGUCUCCUCCCAAAGAGUAACGGAGGAGCACGAAGGUUAGCUAAUCCUGGUCGGACAUCAGGAGGUUAGUGCAAUGGCAUAAGCUAGCUUGACUGCGAGAGUGACGGCUCGAGCAGGUGCGAAAGCAGGUCAUAGUGAUCCGGUGGUUCUGAAUGGAAGGGCCAUCGCUCAACGGAUAAAAGGUACUCCGGGGAUAACAGGCUGAUACCGCCCAAGAGUUCAUAUCGACGGCGGUGUUUGGCACCUCGAUGUCGGCUCAUCACAUCCUGGGGCUGAAGUAGGUCCCAAGGGUAUGGCUGUUCGCCAUUUAAAGUGGUACGCGAGCUGGGUUUAGAACGUCGUGAGACAGUUCGGUCCCUAUCUGCCGUGGGCGCUGGAGAAUUGAGGGGGGCUGCUCCUAGUACGAGAGGACCGGAGUGGACGCAUCACUGGUGUUCGGGUUGUCAUGCCAAUGGCACUGCCCGGUAGCUAAAUGCGGAAGAGAUAAGUGCUGAAAGCAUCUAAGCACGAAACUUGCCCCGAGAUGAGUUCUCCCUGAGACUAUAAGUCUCCUGAAGGAACGUUGAAGACGACGACGUUGAUAGGUCGGGUGUGUAAGCGCAGCGAUGCGUUGAGCUAACCGAUACUAAUGAACCGUGAGGCUUAACCUU
rnacentral:rRNA from 2 species